GGAGGGGGCAAGUCGGAUGGGUGCGCGCACGCUAAGCUAUCUGAACGGCGGCGCGCACGUAUGAGAAAGGCAAAUACAGUAGGUUUCACCCCUCAAAUUGGAUUGAUGUUCUCUGGGCAUGGAGCACGUGUUGUCAAAAGAACAGGAAAGCUUCAUACAUGCUAUGUAUUUUAUUGUAAACAUCACUGCAUUACUGACGAUUGAUCACAAUCUGGAGCUGUGCAUGCAGACCUUAACACUUGGUGCACAAAACACCAUGAUGCAGGCAGCCACCUGACCAGCUGCAGUGUGAGGAGAGAAGCUUAAGCCCACCAGGAGGAUUCACUCCAAAGAAGUCCCGGUAUGCCUCCGGUUCCGGCAAGUCAAACUUACUCACAUUGGUCUUGGCCAGAAUAGA